CAGACACACAGAACAAACACUGUCUUCACAAAGACUGGACAAAGGUCAAGCAUCCAGGGCAAAAGUGCAGUCACUGAUGGUUGACAGCAGUACAAAUGUUCUGUUCUGAUCUUUGGUCAGUGUCUCUGGGAACAACUCCAGCAGGUGGCUGUGAUGAAACCCACAAGAAUCAAACCCACAGAAGAAGAAAAGAAGGCAGAAGUUACAUGAAGCUACAUGCUAAAUGCUCAUAUUCUCAGUGUGGAGUGAAUUAAAACUUAUUCCAUAAAUAUGACAGGACAGACUGGACUGUCAUCAUCAGCAUGGGUGGAGACAGAAAAGGACUUGUUAGGACUGGAACACAUGGACAAUCUGUUCAUCAGAGUCGUUGAACUCAUCUUAAGGAAAGAAAGGAGGAUGGAUUUCGUCCUCAAAUAAUCAGAAGUAUCGGCUUCAGGACUAUCAGGUUGGGACUAUGUUCAGUUUUAAGAAUGCACAGAACCUUCUCCUCUGCUGCCUUCUUGGUCUCUUCAUCCAUCCAGAUGGAACGUUGUACAGAAGAGAAUACUGACGGUGAGAGGUUGGACAGAAAAGAAGGAGAAAAUCAUUUUUUAUUAAUUUAACGGAGAGAAGGAGAGCUGGAAAAAACCUGCAGCAGUUACUUCUUGCCUGUCAUCAAGAAGCUUUUGAAGACUCGGCUCUUCAGAGAGCACCUCCUGCCCAAUCACUGUCCUCCACUUCCCUUCUCCUUCUGCACUUGUCUCCUCCUCUGCUCUCUCACACCAGUUAAGUUGUCCCACUUUCCUAACUAGUGUCUCUUUCAAGAGUUCCUCUUUGUAGCUUGAUUAUUUAUCCUCCUCUUGUAAUUCCCUCUGGAUAAAAUCCUCUGUUACAUGAAUAAAUGUUAUUAUUAUUUCUUUAUAUUUUAUAUUUUAAACUUUGACAGUUUUGUUUCUUUCUUGAGAACUUUCAGCACAUACAGAUGCAGCAGUGGGUGAAGGCUGACUGACACCACUGUAUGUUUGAUGCUAAGCUAAGCUAAUGCACUCAAACACAGAGAGAAGUGUGUGCUUCAGUGUAGGUGGUGUGGGCAGAAGAAGUGGAGUGAGUGUAAAAAUAAACAGAAGGCUGAGCUGAAAAGUCAGAGCAGGACUCAAGUAUUAGCCCCCAGGAGGAACAAACACCAAUGUUCUCACAGAACAUGUGUGAAGAACUCACUUUAUACAGUACUGGUGAUGGGAUUAAUUACAAACAACAGACUUCUCUGGGUCCCCUCACUGGUCCAGACCAGUUUAACUAUUAGGUCGGACAAUAGAAAAAUGAAAAGUCAGAUCCAGGAAACAUCUACUGACCAGUUCUUUGCUCUUCUCAGAGAAAGCCUCCUGGACGUAGAGACGACCCACGGCGUUUUCCAUCUUGGUGCUGACAUACAGAGCACACUGUCUCCACACUGCAGCCUCUGACGUGGUACCGUACAGAACCUGAAGGAACAAGUACCAGACCCCGGUCAGAGCGGACCAGCUUCACCAGGUCAACCAUGAACUGCUCAUAGGCCUGGCAUUUCUGACAAGAGAGCCCUGGAGGAACCUCCUCCAGCCUCAGAUGUUCUUCACACAUCUCCAAAGAAGCACGUUGAGGUUUGACCUACAGGGGGCGGCAGGUGGGACAAGUGAGUAAGAAGAGCAAGAAGAAGAAGAGUCGAUGUCUGUGUCUG